GGAACUGGUUUAGUUGUUCGACCCAGAGGAGGUUGUCGAUCGAGUUAGAUACUCUGUGAGGAUGAAACAAAUGAAACUAUGAAAGUGAUGAGGUUGUUAAUUCUGUUGGGACUUGUUAUCAUUCAAGAGGCAACUUCACAUGGAGAUCGAGCACCCUCUUAAUUUCCAGAAUUGCUAUUGAUGAAGCAACUUAUGCUCUUGAUGAUGACCUUGCUUAUAUCGAUCAAAGCCUCUCCUACAGUUCUAGGAUCAAGAGUAAAGCCUCACACUCCUCACUCAUAUACCCUUCGAUUUUGAUCUUAGAAGAAGUUCAAUGGGUUUCUUUCACUUUGGAAUUCGGCUCUGAAAACCCAUUACCCAUCAACUGAGGAUUGGAUUGGAUCAUUUUCUCCUGCUAAUUUUUGUUUCAUUGUCCAGUCCUGAGUACAAGGACACCAGAAAAGGUUUCUUGAAGCUUCAGCUGAUAAACCAGAGAUCAGACUUCUCUUUCGCACUAUUUUAUGGUGGUUUACUGAAUGUAUGCUAAAACUUGGCUCGCAGUUCUGAUGCAGUUGAGGCCACUGUACCAGCAGUUGGAAUCCACAACAAUCUUAGCCCAUUCAUGAAUGACAAUUUUGACAUGGACGAUGAUAUGGAUGACUUAGAUUCAGAAUCUGAACUAGAUGUUGAUAGCAGUGGGGAAAUAGUGUAUGCUAUUUAAUAAAGGUAUGUGGAUGUAGUCAGAAAGAAAUUCUACAGUCAAGUUUCUUUGUCAAAAACUAGAGAGAACGUGCAAGAGUGUAUGGUAGAUUAUCAUAGAUAUUUCAAUAGAAAAAGGUACUAUGCUAUUAUCAUAUGCUAGCUCCUUUGGAGUAUCUUACUGCUCUCAUCUUAC